rnacentral:lncRNA from 1 species
AGCAGCCCCCUGUUCAACGUCAUUGGUCUUUGUUUGUGUUGCUUUGACAGGUGCCCGUGCUGUCGCUUGGCAAGAAUCAGAAGUUGAAAACAAACUGAAGCAAGCGGGAGCACGGGCGCAGCUGGGAACGAGAAUCCGUUCCAGCUGUGAAAAGACACCGAAGUUCUUUUUAGCGUACGGAAAAUGGAAGGAAGUUUCAUUUCGUUCAGCUCAGAAAACUGGUGCCCGUCACUCUUUAUCCGCUCGUUUCAACACUAAAAAGAACUUCGACAAGACUGGCCGAAGUUCGGGGGCCUACGACCACGAUCGGAAGCGGGAAAGGCGCGGCGACAGUGGCACGAGGACGUCUUUUCAACCGGAGCGGUUGCUGAAGAGCUGCAUCACUGAAGGCUGGUGCAAUGGCUGUCGAAACGAGGUGACAAAAUGGAGUCGGUGAGGCAAGGACUUGCAAAGGGGGUUGUGACAAAGUGAUCACCCGUGGCCCAUAAAUAGAGCCAAAAGUGGUCGGGCACGGGUGUGAGACGGAGGUCAACAAGCGACCCCGCAACGAAGAGUGCUCAUCGGCUCCAAGUUGCAGAUGACGUCAGCAGUACCAAAGGUCAGCACAGCAUCUUCAGGACGCGCAGCAGUGACUAGGCGUAAAACUCCAGCUUUGGCAAGGAAGAAGUUUUACGGGGGGGAGUGUUGCGACGGAGCGCGUCCGAAGCAGCCCCCUGUUCAACGUCAUUGGUCUUUGUUUGUGUUGCUUUGACAGGUGCCCGUGCUGUCGCUUGGCAAGAAUCAGAAGUUGAAAACAAACUGAAGCAAGCGGGAGCACGGGCGCAGCUGGGAACGAGAAUCCGUUCCAGCUGUGAAAAGACACCGAAGUUCUUUUUAGCGUACGGAAAAUGGAAGGAAGUUUCAUUUCGUUCAGCUCAGAAAACUGGUGCCCGUCACUCUUUAUCCGCUCGUUUCAACA